AUCGAACGCUGGCGGCAGGCUUAACACAUGCAAGUCGAGCGAGCGGCGGACGGGUGAGUAAUGUCUGGGAAACUGCCUGAUGGAGGGGGCUAAAUACUGGAAACGGUAGCUAAUACCGCAUACUUUCAGAUGUGCCCAGAUGGGAUUAGCUAGCAGGUGGGGUAAUGGCUCACCUAGGAGACGAUCCCUAGCUGGUCUGAGAGGAUCAGCAGGCACACGGGAACUGAGACACGGCCCAGACUCCUACGGGGGGCAGCAGUGGGGAAUAUUGCACAAGGGGCGCAAGCCGGAUGCAGCAAUGCCGCGUGUGUGAAGAAGGCGUUCGGGUUGUAAAGCACUUUCAGCUAGGAGGCGUUACUCGCAGAAGAAGCACCGGCUAACUCCGUGCCAGCAGCCGCGGUAAUAC
rnacentral:rRNA from 1 species